CGACAUUUCGGUCCCUUUAGUACCCCCAACAUAGACCACUAAUAUACACAUCUGUUAUCCAUAUCACUACAACAAAAAUAGUCUAUAGCGACACUUUUAAAUAUCAGUAUACGUAAUAAAAAAUAUUGCUGGCUAAAUUACCGAUACUUUUAAAAAGUGUUGCUAUAUGUGGGGUCGCUAAGUAUAUAGUGACAGUUAAAGAGUAGUGUCGCUAUAGCCUAAAAUAGUGCUGCUAAUUUACCAACACUUAUUUAAGUAUUUAGCAACCGCCGGAACUUUACCUCGUUGGCUGCGGUGGCAGAGGAGGACGAGAGGGAAGGGCUCUUCGUCUAGAAUUUCAGUAGAUUAAGAGGAGAAGGAGAGAUGGUAAUCGAUUUUUCUUUUCUUUUUUCUUUUCUAUUUGUAGUUGGGCCGAAUAGGCUGGGUGGGGUGGGUUGAGUAGAAUAACAUUUUAUUUUUGGUUGGAUUAGGCUUUAUAUUUAGACAUUAGUAGAUUUUUUUAAAAAUUUUGGCAUAAAUGAGACACUAACACAAAAGUGUCCCAAACAUGUCUCUAUAACCUAAUUCUGUCACCUCCCAUGUUGUCUGUCACUUAAGAAUAACUCAUCAUAACAUACUUAGCCAGCCUUGAAAUAUGUUAUUCAUUUAUGCU
rnacentral:lncRNA from 1 species